ensembl:lncRNA
UGAAAAGUGAAAGUCAGUCGUGUCCAAAUUUUUGCGACCGCAUGGACCAUCACCUGCCAGUCUCCUCUGUCUGUGGAAUUCUUCAAGCCAGAAUACUGGAAGAGGGGCUGUAAUCCUAAGACCACUGGGAAAAGUCUCAUUGCCUUUUUCUUUAUCCUUCUGUCCUCUGCCAACUGGGACCUGAAAAACAAACAAACAAACAAACAGUAAUGCCAAGAAUGUAAGAACGUAUUGGGGAAGUGAAGAGGAAAGAUUCAAAUAAAUUAUUAAGGAGGGAGAUGAAGAAAGUAAUCCUGUAUAAUCACGUAUGAACUUCUGGACUCACACUCAACUGUGCAUGCACAUAUCUGACCAUAACAGCAAGUCUAAAGCUUUGAGACCUGAAUUGCAGCGUAGACUACCACCCAGGUCUCAUGUUGGACGGAUUCAAAUUCAUCUUCAAAAACUUAAAAAUUGGCAUUGGAACCAUAGCAUGCAAAAUGUAAAUUGAAAUUUGUAAUCUGAACAUAACACAAUACUUUAAAAAAUUGUGAAAAAUAAAUCAAAGUUCACUUUAAAAUUUAAAAAUGCUUAGGUUCAUAGCAUAGGAAUCAAAUGAUCCAGGACACGAUCCAAAAUUACUUGUCAUACACACACACAUACAGACAGGAAAAUCUCAAAUCAUAAAGAGAAAGAUAACUAAAAAAUGCUAACUCUGAGAUAAUGCAGAAGUUGGAAUUAUCAGAUAAAACUUUACAAAAACUAAAUUCAGGGUGGUCCUAAGAUAGCAGAGGAAUAGGACAGGGAGACCACUUUCUCCCCCACAAAUUCAUCAAAAAAACAUUUGAGCACUGAGCAAAUUCCACAGAACAACUUCUGAAUGCAGGCAGAAGACAUCAGGCACCCAUAAAAGCAGCCCAUUGUUAUUGAAAGAAGGUAGGACAAAAUAUAAAAGAUAAAAAUAGGGGCAAAAGAGGUAGGGAUGGAGAUGUGUACCGGGAAAGGAGUCUUAAAAAAGAGAGAAGUUUCCAAAAACC